rnacentral:rRNA from 1 species
AACGAACGCUGGCGGCAUGCCUAACACAUGCAAGUCGAACGAGACCUUCGGGUCUAGUGGCGCACGGGUGCGUAACGCGUGGGAACCUGCCCUUAGGUUCGGAAUAACUCCUCGAAAGGGGUGCUAAUACCGGAUAAUGUCUUCGGACCAAAGAUUUAUCGCCUUUGGAUGGGCCCGCGUUGGAUUAGCUAGUUGGUAGGGUAAAGGCCUACCAAGGCGACGAUCCAUAGCUGGUCUUAGAGGAUGAUCAGCCACACUGGGACUGAGACACGGCCCAGACUCCUACGGGAGGCAGCAGUGGGGAAUAUUGGACAAUGGGCGAAAGCCUGAUCCAGCAAUGCCGCGUGAGUGAUGAAGGCCUUAGGGUUGUAAAGCUCUUUUACCAGGGAUGAUAAUGACAGUACCUGGAGAAUAAGCUCCGGCUAACUCCGUGCCAGCCGCCGCUGUAACAC